GCGUGCCUAAUACAUGCAAGUCGAGCGGACAGAUGGGAGCUUGCUCCCUGAUGUUAGCGGCGGACGGGUGAGUAACACGUGGGUAACCUGCCUGUAAGACUGGGAUAACUCCGGGAAACCGGGGCUAAUACCGGAUGGUUGUUUGAACCGCAUGGUUCAGACAUAAAAGGUGGCUUCGGCUACCACUUACAGAUGGACCCGCGGCGCAUUAGCUAGUUGGUGAGGUAACGGCUCACCAAGGCGACGAUGCGUAGCCGACCUGAGAGGGUGAUCGGCCACACUGGGACUGAGACACGGCCCAGACUCCUACGGGAGGCAGCAGUAGGGAAUCUUCCGCAAUGGACGAAAGUCUGACGGAGCAACGCCGCGUGAGUGAUGAAGGUUUUCGGAUCGUAAAGCUCUGUUGUUAGGGAAGAACAAGUGCCGUUCAAAUAGGGCGGCACCUUGACGGUACCUAACCAGAAAGCCACGGCUAACUACGUGCCAGCAGCCGCGGUAAUACGUAGGUGGCAAGCGUUGUCCGGAAUUAUUGGGCGUAAAGGGCUCGCAGGCGGUUUCUUAAGUCUGAUGUGAAAGCCCCCGGCUCAACCGGGGAGGGUCAUUGGAAACUGGGGAACUUGAGUGCAGAAGAGGAGAGUGGAAUUCCACGUGUAGCGGUGAAAUGCGUAGAGAUGUGGAGGAACACCAGUGGCGAAGGCGACUCUCUGGUCUGUAACUGACGCUGAGGAGCGAAAGCGUGGGGAGCGAACAGGAUUAGAUACCCUGGUAGUCCACGCCGUAAACGAUGAGUGCUAAGUGUUAGGGGGUUUCCGCCCCUUAGUGCUGCAGCUAACGCAUUAAGCACUCCGCCUGGGGAGUACGGUCGCA
rnacentral:rRNA from 4 species